CCCUUAGAUGUUCUGGGCCGCACGCGUGCUACACUGAGUGGAUCAGCGGGUCAGGUUGCGCGAAAGUGUUUCCUAAUCUUUAAAUCCGCUCGUGAUGGGGAUUGACGGUUGCAAUUUUCCGUCAUGAACGAGGAAUACCUUGUAAGCGCGGGUCAUCAUCCCGCGCUGAAUACGUCCCUGCCCUUUGUACACACCGCCCGUCGCUCCUACCGAUUGAGUGGUCCGGUGAGGCUUUGGGAUCUGAGCGGAAAGAGCGUUUCGCUGUUUCUGCCCGGAAAACUCAGUCGAACCUUAUCAUUUAGAGGAAGAAGAAGUCGUAACA
rnacentral:rRNA from 1 species